rnacentral:rRNA from 1 species
AGAGUUUGAUCCUGGCUCAGGACGAACGCUGGCGGCGCGCCUAACACACGCAAGUCGAACGAGCGAGAGAGAGCUUGCUUUCUUGAGCGAGUGGCGAACGGGUGAGUAACGCGUGAGGAACCUGCCUCAAAGAGGGGGACAACAGUUGGAAACGACUGCUAAUACCGCAUAAGCCCACGGCUCGGCAUCGAGCAGAGGGAAAAGGAGCAAUCCGCUUUGAGAUGGCCUCGCGUCCGAUUAGCUAGUUGGUGAGGUAACGGCCCACCAAGGCGACGAUCGGUAGCCGGACUGAGAGGUUGAACGGCCACAUUGGGACUGAGACACGGCCCAGACUCCUACGGGAGGCAGCAGUGGGGAAUAUUGCACAAUGGGGGAAACCCUGAUGCAGCGACGCCGCGUGGAGGAAGAAGGUCUUCGGAUUGUAAACUCCUGUUGUUGAGGAAGAUAAUGACGGUACUCAACAAGGAAGUGACGGCUAACUACGUGCCAGCAGCCGCGGUAAAACGUAGGUCACAAGCGUUGUCCGGAAUUACUGGGUGUAAAGGGAGCGCAGGCGGGAAGACAAGUUGGAAGUGAAAUCCAUGGGCUCAACCCAUGAACUGCUUUCAAAACUGUUUUUCUUGAGUAGUGCAGAGGUAGGCGGAAAUCCCGGUGUAGCGGUGGAAUGCGUAGAUAUCGGGAGGAACACCAGUGGCGAAGGCGGCCUACUGGGCACCAACUGACGCUGAGGCUCGAAAGUGUGGGUAGCAAACAGGAUUAGAUACCCUGGUAGUCCACACUGUAAACGAUGAUUACUAGGUGUUGGAGGAUUGACCCCUUCAGUGCCGCAGUUAACACAAUAAGUAAUCCACCUGGGGAGUACGACCGCAAGGUUGAAACUCAAAGGAAUUGACGGGGGCCCGCACAAGCAGUGGAGUAUGUGGUUUAAUUCGACGCAACGCGAAGAACCUUACCAAGUCUUGACAUCCUGCGACGCACAUAGAAAUAUGUGUUUCCUUCGGGACGCAGAGACAGGUGGUGCAUGGUUGUCGUCAGCUCGUGUCGUGAGAUGUUGGGUUAAGUCCCGCAACGAGCGCAACCCUUAUGGUCAGUUACUACGCAAGAGGACUCUGGUCAGACUGCCGUUGACAAAACGGAGGAAGGUGGGGAUGACGUCAAAUCAUCAUGCCCUUUAUGACUUGGGCUACACACGUACUACAAUGGCGUUAAACAAAGAGAAGCAAGACCGCGAGGUGGAGCAAAACUCAGAAACAACGUCCCAGUUCGGACUGCAGGCUGCAACUCGCCUGCACGAAGUCGGAAUUGCUAGUAAUCGCAGAUCAGCAUGCUGCGGUGAAUACGUUCCCGGGCCUUGUACACACCGCCCGUC